AUGACGUGGCCGGCUUUCAUUCUGAUGUGAUUCCAAAAACGAGUAUCAAGGGAUUGCUUUGUUUCUAUGUAGCGGUUCGGAAUUCGGUUGGGAAAGGUAAAUCCUGGUCAGGUUUGUUUCUGAGACAUUAUUUUUACUUUUCUCACUGUCCCAAACAAUGUCAAGACACAUACAUAUUUGUUUGAAAAGUACUUCAAGCUUAAACGUAUAAAACAAUCCAAUGAAAACCAUUAUUUACAGCACUAACUAAAAAAAAAGCCACAUUUUAAAUCUAGAUUUAAAAGCAUUUACACUCAGGGUAGAUUUCAUUUCUUUUUGGCAGUUUAUUCCAUUUGCAUGUGGCAGUUUACUGCAUUUGCAUGUUGCAUAAUGCUCCACUAAUUUGACCCGAGUCUGCAGACUUCACAGGCUAUCUGAGUUUUAUAUUCAGUCAGCAUUUCGUGAUGUAUUCAGUACCCCAAUUUUUUAGUAAUUUACAGACCAGUAGUAUCAUUUUCAAAUCUCUUCUAUAGCUCAUUGGGAACCAGUGUAAAGCCUUUAGGACCCCGCUAACAUGUUCUUACCAUUGCUCUGGUCAGAACCUGAUCUGCAGCAAUGUGAAUGAGCUGCAGCCGUUUGAUGCUCUUUUGAAGAGAGUUCAAGCAGAAGACCGUGACAAUGAGGCAGCAAGAAAGGAAUUGGCCGCACUGUUUCACUGCAUUUGGAAGGGGCUGUACAUCAUAUGCAAAUGCAUUCUCUAUAUGCAGCAAAAUAAAUAUAAAAAAGGGAGUGAGACACAUUUGCUGACACAUUAUGGCAGACUGUCAGUUUGAGGGAUGGCUCAUCAGCGUCGUGCCCGUUGGCAGCGUGCGAUGCCUCUGCAGCUGGAGUCAUGUUAAGCGUAAGGCGCGGUGACAGACACGCUAAUCAACUAUCUAAGUGACACAACGGUUGCCAUCAAUGCACAUCAGACCCGCAAUGAUUUAUUUGUCGCCGCCAUAGUAUAGAGUGACGCACGGGUAUAAACAUGGCUGCUUCCACGUUGCGACACUUUGUCACCUCCGGCCGCUGAGCCUCGCUUCCCCCCCACAGGCCAUCUGCCCUCCGAGCGCGGGAGAGUCGACAGCCCCCUCGGAGGGCCACUUGCAAAACGGGAUUAAAACAAACCAUUCGAGAGCGUUAUUACACCCGCCGAAGGUGGGAGCGCGUCUGCUGAGUAAGCCCCUGGCCCCCCGAAUCCGAGACGGAGAACUUGCGCAGGACCCCAAUUAUCGGCGCGUCAGUCACAAUCUUUCAAUUACCACCUCAUCGCUUUAAAUUUGAGUCAGGAUAUUCCCGGAGAAGCAGAGGGGCAGCGGGGUUAACCGUUGCACUCAGCAGCUAAGCCUUGGCAUGGGAAGAGAGGAGGAUGAGACAUGAAAGGCAGCCGUACUGGAUAGUGCUUGGACGUAGCGAGGAAAAGUUGGUUGCCUCCACUUUGGUGGCGGCAAUUAAUUCUGACUAGCUUUUGCAGUUGAACAAUGCCUCCGGUGCGUAUGAGACUCGAGUAUUGCCUGCAUCCACUUUCUCUUGCUGGUCGAGUUCAAACGAGAUUGCCGCGAUUGAAGUGAAAAUUACAUAAUUGGACACCGUUCAGUUUUUCUUUUUAUAUAUUUAUUUUAAUUUGGGGGGACGUGACAGGCGAAUACCCACCAUGUCGCGGCACCUGCGCCGCCCAUGCAAUGGAGACGAUCGCGCGUUGUGAAUAUCGGACUAGCCGGCUUUUUGCAUAAUUCAUGCGUCUUAACAUCUGCGAGCGUGGCCCGCCGCGCAUCCAGAGUUCAUUGGCUGCCGAGCGGAUCGAGGCGCAUGUUGGCACGCUAUUCAUUUUUAAUAGCAUGAAGAAGGGAAGAAAAUAGAAAGGCUUCAUUUUCGAGGCGCCGUGCAUCUUCGCUGUCCAGAUUGAAAAUGGUGCAGUCACGCUUGUCUUUAUGGUCCUUGCGUUUUUUGUCCAACUCUUCCUUGACACCACAAUGUAUUGCAGUGUGUUGUUCACCAUGCUUUGUGUACCCUACCACACUGGUCGGUAGCUUAGGGGUCUGAAUUGCAGAGUGACUUGAUACAUUAUUAUUGCUCGUAAGUGAGGGGCGAGUACCGUUACCAGGUAUUGGUAGUGGGCCAAAACCGGCCUUAUUUGCACCAUAUGGUGAAGAUAAAGCGCUACAUACGUAAACACCAUUUUUACGAUUUAUUAUUAUAGGGUAUUCGUGGAGGAUAGGCUCCAGCGCCCCCCGCGACCCUUGUGAGGAGAAAGCAGAUCGGAAAAUGGACUUAUGGAUGGAUGGAUGGGUACUCGUCGAGACUGCCGAUAACAGCCAUCGAUACUUAAGACAAGUAAAGCCUGAUAUCAACAAACGUGUGCAAGUAAAUCCCAGCGCCGCAGAGCAAGAAAACCCAGGCCGCGAAAGAGAAAGUCUCUCCGCUGGCUGAAUCAGAUCGACGCAAACCAGAGAGGGGUUUCGUAAGCCGGAUUUCCACACAAACUUCAGAUGAGUCACCGGCACCUUCGCACUCAAUUUGGAGAAAAGUGUGGGAUGUGACAAAUCAUGUAACAGGCCCAACGGUCUCCUCUUUCUUGAAUAUCUACGCACGCCUUCAAUUUGAUCGCAGACGAAAAGCAAUGGAGACUUUUGCCGCUGUUGACAUCGUAAAUCUGAGCCGGAUUAAAAAGUGCUGCUGCACUGUUGCGGGAGCUCUGCGGGGCUCAUCUGUCACCUGUGGAGGAGGCGGAGGAGGCAGGAAGUCAAGAAGACUGUUAAACUACUGCCAUCUGCUGGCCGAUAGCGCAAUAGCCAAAAAGGGCAUUCCUGUCAACUGGGAGAUCAUUUGGAUACAGUUCACCUCGCGAU